GCUACGGAAUCCGGGCGGCGGCGCACGUGACCCGGCGUUGCUAGGAAACGGGAGUGGGGCCUGCGGGGACGCGGCUGGAGCCUGCGCAUUUCUUCCUUCCUGCUUUCAAAGUUGCAAUGAGCGCAGAGCGGUGCGCCCGAGGGGGUUGAAGCGUUGAAAGUGUGUUACCCAGAUUUUAUCUGAGUUAAACACGGGCCGGCCGCUGUGGCUCACGUCUGUACUCCCAGAGCCUUGGGAGGUCGAGGCGGGAAGAUCGCUUGAGCCCGGGAGCUCGAGACCAGACGCGGCAACAUGGCGAGACGCACAUCUCUGCCUUUAAAAAUGAGAGGCUGGCGGUUACCUUUCUUGGGGAGACGCGUCCGACUGCUUCAUUGUGGGGGCCUCAGGAGCGGAGGAUCGGGUCCCGCCCGAGGUGACGCGUAAACCCAGACUCUCAGCAACGCGGGUAGGAAGGACCCUUGAAGUUCCGCGGCGACCACGGUGAGAAAAGUCGCUAUUGGGGCGACACAGGUGGGGGCGUCUCUUGGAGGUUGAAAGUGUGUGUUGGAAGUUAAACUCGGAGUCGCAAUGCAAGAGGACCGCAGACUAAGCCGAACGCGAAGGGCUAACUGGAAAGGGGCAGGAAUGUGGC
rnacentral:lncRNA from 1 species